GAUGAACGCUGGCGGCGUGCCUAAUACAUGCAAGUCGAGCGAACGGACGAGAAGCUUGCUUCUCUGAUGUUAGCGGCGGACGGGUGAGUAACACGUGGAUAACCUACCUAUAAGACUGGGAUAACUUCGGGAAACCGGAGCUAAUACCGGAUAAUAUUUUGAACCGCAUGGUUCAAAAGUGAAAGACGGUCUUGCUGUCACUUAUAGAUGGAUCCGCGCUGCAUUAGCUAGUUGGUAAGGUAACGGCUUACCAAGGCAACGAUGCAUAGCCGACCUGAGAGGGUGAUCGGCCACGCUGGAACUGGGACACGGUCCAGACUCCUACGGGAGGCAGCAGUAGGGAAUCUUCCGCAAUGGGCGAAAGCCUGACGGAGCAACGCCGCGUGAGUGAUGAAGGUCUUCGGAUCGUAAAACUCUGUUAUUAGGGAAGAACAUAUGUGUAAGUAACUGUGCACAUCUUGACGGUACCUAAUCAGAAAGCCACGGCUAACUACGUG
rnacentral:rRNA from 1 species